UUCGGGCAAGGCCGUGGUCUAAUUCGCUUGGAACAGCGAGUCACAGAGGGUGAGAAUCCCGUCUAGGAUCGUACGCCGCGUCCAUGUGAAGCUCCUUCGACGAGUCGAGUUGUUUGGGAAUGCAGCUCUAAGCGGGUGGUAAAUUUCAUCUAAAGCUAAAUAUUGGCCAGAGACCGAUAGCGCACAAGUAGAGUGAUCGAAAGAUGAAAAGCACUUUGAAAAGAGAGUUAAACAGUAUGUGAAAUUGUUGAAAGGGAAGCGCUUGCAAUCAGACUUGUGUCUGACGGUUCCCCUGGCCCUCGUGGCCGGGCUACUCCGUCAUGUCCAGGCCAACAUCGGUUUGGGUGGUCGGUCAAAGACCCCGAGAAUGUAUCUACCUUCGGGUCGACUUAUAGCCCGGGGUGGAAUGCGGCCCACCCGGACCGAGGAACGCGCUUCGGCUCGGAUGUUGGCGUAAUGGUUGCAAGCGGCCCGUCUUGAAACACGGACCAAGGAGUCUAACAUCUAUGCGAGUGUCUGGGCGUCAAACCCCUACGCGUAAUGAAAGUGAACGGAGGUAAGAACCCCGCAAGGGGCGCAUUAUCGACCGAUCCUGAUGUCUUCGGAUGGAUUUGAGUAAGAGCAUAGCUGUUGGGACCC
rnacentral:rRNA from 1 species